UACGUAGGUGGCGAGCGUUGUCCGGAUUUACUGGGCGUAAAGGGCGCGUAGGCGGUUCGUCAAGUCCUGUGUGAAAUCCCCCGGCUCAACUGGGGAACUGCACAGGAAACUAGCGGGCUUGAGUUCGGGAGAGGGAAGCGGAAUUCCGGGUGUAGUGGUGAAAUGCGUAGAGAUCCGGAGGAACACCAGUGGCGAAGGCGCUGUCCUGGGCCGCAACUGACGCUGAAACGCGAAAGCAUGGGGAGCGAACGGG
rnacentral:rRNA from 1 species